AGAGGGUGAUCCUGCUGCUCAGCUCACAGGGGCCUGUGUGUGUGGCAGCUCCGUCUGGACCCUGUUGGCCCUUCUCAUGGGAGGCCUGAGGACACAGCCAGCAUGGGAGGACUCUCGGGCCCUCUCAGGGGAGAAGACCAAGAAACUCCACCGUCACUCCAGGCUGGCUUGCCCUGGAAUUCUUUUCUGCGGUGUAGUCAAGAAUCCCAUCCCAGCUUCACCUGAGUGGAGGUCUCGGAAGAAUUCACAGGCUGCUGCAGGUGGCUGCGUGGAGCUGUUUGUCUGGCCUGGACUGCACAGCCUGUGACAAAGCCAGUGUGCUGUGUGCUGUGUGAGAGCUGAGUGCUGAGGAAAGGGAGCGAGGAAAGGUUGGAGAAGGAGGAAAGUGCCUCCCCCCAACUCUGAAGGGUGUUGGGAUAGGGGUGCUGUGAGCUGGGGGUUCAGAGUAGAAGCUCUGAGUGCUAUGGGGGGGCAGUUAUGACAAACCAUCAGGGGCACAGGGAGGUGGGAUCCACUCUCAGAGUUUUCCUCCAUGUCCUUCUUUUCUUGAGGCCUCCAGAGCCCCAGGAGGUGCUGGUGCAGAUCCAAGUGGGUCAGAACUCACAGUCAGCCACCCCUCUUUCCCUUCCACUCAAUUCUCCACAGCCUUCCAUGGUCAAACCACUGGAGAAAUGGACUAACUAGGGCUAAGGUUUCAAGUUUCUCAGGCCAGGUUGUGGCAGUGUAUGGGGACAUGCACUCAGACUAACAGUAGGAGCAAUUCAUAAUGCAUGGGAAUAGUCAAGAAUGGUGCAGUCUGACCAAGUCACAAGAAGCUCAGCACUGGACAGAUCCAUCAAGUAGCCCAGGAGGGCAGUGGGAAGGACCAGUAUCCCAUAUAUACCAAUCAUAUGGUUUGGGCUGCCCACAAGGGAUGUCACAUUGAGCAAGUUCUUUCUACCAUGGGUGGUGACCAGAUCCUCAGCCACAGUGGGUCUUUGUUGGCUAAUGCAGGAAUCUGUGAUUUCUGACCACUGUUAUAAGAGCACCCAACGUUAUUAAGAAACCCCCAGUUCUGGGCCAAAUGAAUGGUAGGCAGGCUUUCAAACACACACAUUCAUGACCCCCUCAUAUAUAUAUAUAUAUAUAUAGUCAUGAAGCCAGGCUGGCUUUGAAUUCCUAAUAAUAUCUCUAUGCCCCAAGUGCUGGGAUUGCAUGUAUAGAUCACCAUGACUCCAAAACAAACAGCAAACUAGACUUUGCCAUGCAAAGGGCUCCCCUCAACAUAAGGUGACAGGGAAGUCACUGACAUCUUACUGAAGGGGAAAGCAGGAGACAGAUAAUGGCAGUGGUGUGGAGAGAAAGGGUAGAGACUACAGGGCUAAAAGACUACUGCUUACAAUGAAGCAGAAGAGCUGGAGAGGUAGCACGGCAGGGCUGGGUAUCAAGUAGACCAAAGUGAUAGAUUUGCUCCUACAAGCCUACGUUGUUUCCUCGGAUUUUGAGACAUAGCCUUAGUUACUCCUGCUGGGCUCUCCUGAGGCCAAGUUUUUCCUCAGAAGCAGAAUGUCAGGCAGGCUGGUCUUCUGAGGCUCCCACUUCCUCCCAUGUCCCAGUGACUUCGAUGGCUGCAUCCUGGAAACAUCUCUUCAGUAAAUCUUUUGUGACUAGCUGUCAGCCAUCACUUUCCUAAACCACCAGAUGCCACCAGCAGUGACAUCAUCAGGAGCCACAGGCUCUGCACCAGCACAGCUGAGACUGGAGGAAAUACAGAAGGCCUCCAUCUUUGCCCAUCUCUUCACUACUGGAAACAUGUCCCUGUGUGGACUUGAAAGGCGCAUGUGCCUAGCCCCUCUGUGGCCCAGCUAUGACAGGACUACAUGUUCCUAAGAUCAUUUCAGGAAGAGAGCAGAGGCCAGAAUGUGGGGAAAUUGCCACAUGUCCAGUGAAAUCUCUGUAACAUUUUUAUUAACUGUAUUCAACUAAAAACAAAUGACACAAACCAUCUGGUUUGUUUAAUAAAUUGAGCAUCGUAAACAGCUAAGACCGACCCCCAAACAUCAAGGUAAAUGAAAGGCCGUCAUUGUUCAGAAGCAAAGGUGUAAUCAGACUCUAAUUUUCUAUUCCAAUAGACAUCUUUGAAUUAGUUUCUAUUCCACUAAUUAUGAAGUUUUUUUUAUUAGUGUUCUACUUGAUUAAUAAAGCACAAAACACAGAUUACCUAUAAUAUUACUCUCAAUCCCCCUGGGGAGUACCCGGGUGGUUUCUGCACAUGUUUAAAUGCUAAACAAGAGAAGCCAGGAGAAUGAGAAUAUGCAGAGGGGGAGGGGAACACCAGCCAGUUUUUAAGACUUUUAAAGAGAGCAAGGAGAGAUCUAUGGGAGGCUUUGGUGGGUGGAAAGAACAGGGAGGAGGGGAUGGUGUGUUAAAAUCUCAAACACAAAAGAAAGAAAUAAAAAAACAUUAAAUCUGAAAGACAAAAAUGAAGCCACCUAGCACAGUGCCUGGAUCCCUUUGUGCCGUCUAGAUAAAACAUUUAUAGUUGUGCCUUGGCCCUCAGGAGAGAACCCCUUAACUAUUAAGAGAUAGUUUGAAAAUUAUAUUCUAAAAGACUGGAAUCCCUAGAACAGAUAAAUUCAUAGACAAAGACAUAGGUAAGUCUCCAAAAUGAAAUCUAGAGAAUAGAAACAACUUAAUGGAUCCAUAACAAGCAACGUGGUUGAAGCAAUAAUGAACAGCAGCCUCCUCAGAGAGAGCCUCAGAAGACAGGUUUUACUGAACUCGCAUACUAAACCUUCAAAGAACUAAUGCAUGGUGCUCAAGUUGCUCCAUAAAAAUAAAAAGAGAAAGAAUGCUAACAAAUCCCCUCAAAGAAACCAGCAUCACCCUGGUAGCAAAAUGGGAUAAGGAUCCCCACCAAACAAAUACACAAAACUCAAGAGACCAAUUUCCCUGAGCAUACACACAAAAAUGCUCAGUAAAACACUUGCAUAUGGAAUUCAACAGCUCAUGAAGAUGCUCACAUACUAUCAGCAAGUUGACUUUUUCCAAGAAUACAGGAUGGAACAACAGUUACAAGUCAAUAAUUUUAAUAUAGUACAUAAACUUAACAAUAGAAAUUACAGGGUCUUCUUAACGAUGCAGAAGUGUUCUUUGACAACAUUGAACAUCCUGUCAUGAUAAAAAGCUUCCAAGAAACUAAGAAUAAAAGAUAUAUUAUCUAUCAUCUAUCUAUCUAUCUAUCAAUUAAUCAUCUAUCAAUCUAUUAUCAAUUAUCUAUCGUCUAUCUAUUAUCUAUCAUCAUCAUCUAUCAAUCAUCUAUCUCCAUCUAUUAUCUAUCAUCUAUAUAUCUGCCUAUCUAUCUAUCUAUCUAUCUAUCUAUCAUCUAUUUAUCUAUCUAUCAUCUAUAUCUAUCAAUCAUCUAUCAUAUAUUAUCUAAUUUUCAACUUGACAGAAUCUAGAAUGAUCUGAGAGAUGGGUCUCUGCCUAUGGAGUUAGCUUUAUUGUACUAACAAAACGGGCAUACCUGUCCACUGUGGGUGGUACCAUUCCCCUGGAUUGGGUUCUCCACUGCAUAAAACAGGGAAAGGGCCACUGGAUAGCAGCAUGAGUUCAUCUCUUUCUUCCUUCUGCUUGUGUAUACAGUGUAAAUAAGCACUUGAAGUACCAGCUACCCUGACUUCUCUGCUAUGAUGGACCUUGAACCUUGAGUCAAAAGAAACCCUUUUUCCUGGAGUUGCUGUUCUCAGAACUCAACUCAGUAAAGGCAACAACAGUAAAGGAAACUAAAAACCAAUAGCCAGCAUUAUAUGAAGUAGGAAAACUGAAAGCAUUUCUUUAAAAAUAAGAAACGCACUAAGAGUAUCUCUUUGUUCUUACUCAGUGUAGUACUUGAAGUCCUAGCUAGAGCAAAAGACAAAGAGAAAUGAAAGGGAUACAGAUAGGAAAUAAAAGUUAUACUUGCAUCUACUUGCAGAUGACAUGGUCCCACAGUUAAAGGACCUCUGCCAGAAAACUCUUAGAUACAAUAAGGAUUUUCAGCAAAGGAGCAGAUUUCAAAAUUAAUAUACAAAUCCCAGUAACUUUCCUAUAUAGAAAUAAUAAAUUUGCCAAGAAAGAACUCAGGAAAAAUUCAAAUUCACAUUACUCUAAAAAAAAUCCAAAACAUUCUUAGGAAUAAACUAACUAAGGACAUGAAAUACUUGUAUAAUGGAAACUUUAAAACAUUUAAGAAAAAAAUGAAAAUUAGACUAGGGAAAGGCAUCUCUUGCUCACAAGGAGCAGAAUAUAUACUAUGAUAAUGGGUAAUUACUAAAAGCAACCUAUCGAUGCAAGGAGAGCCCCGUAGAACUACAGCAUCCUCCUACAGAACUAAAAAAUCAGCCUAAGGUUCAGAUGAAAGCACAAAACAAGCAGCCCUAAGCAGAACAAACUGAUGGCGAUAUCUCAAUACCUGACUUGUAAUGAUCCAGGGCUAGAGAUACUUCAGCAGUCAGAAAUGCUUGCUGCUUCUCCAGAGGACCAGAGCUCAGUUCUCAGCACCCCAGUAAAGUGGUUCACACAUGCCGAUAAUUCCAGGGGAUCCAAUGCCCUUUUGGCCUUUGAGAGUUUCAGCAAGCAAGCAAGCAAGCAAGCAAGCAAGCAAGCAAGCAAGCAAGCAAGCACGCACGUGUGCGCACACACACACACACACACACACAUGAUCUUAAAAAAGAAAAUGUUCUGCAGAGUUAUGGCAGCAAAAGGAACAUGGUGUGGACACAAAAGCAGACAUGUAGACCACUGGAAAGGAUAGGGGAACCAGAGAUAAACUUACAUCUGUAGACAAUUUUUGACAAAGCUGUCACAUAUAUACUGAAACCCAGUCUCUUUAAAAACUGCCACCAGUUUCCACUGGGGAGAAACCAGACCCAUGGCUCCUACCCUGCAGGAAAUCGAUUCAAACAGACCAAUGACCUUGAUAGAAGCCUUAAACUUUUGAAACUUCCAGGAGCCAGUUUAAGAUACAAGCACAGGCAAAGACUUUUUUUUUUUUUAAUAAGACUCCAGUGGCACAGGAAAGAAUGCCAAAUAUCUUUAAAAGUCAGAUUGUGUGAAUCUAAAAGUUUUCUGUACAGCGAAGGAAAGAAACUGUUAGCAAAGUGAAGGUACAGCCCACAGAAAGGAAGACCUUUGCCAACCAUAUACCUGACAGGGGAUUAAUAGCUAGAACCUAUAAUGGCCUAAAAAAAAA
ensembl:antisense Gm5441 predicted gene 5441